CAAGAGUCACCCUUUAGAUUUCCUGACACUUGUAGCCGAACGCUUUGUAUAGGCGCGAAAUUGAAGCAAACGCGGUGGCACGUUAAGCAACUUUGUUCAUUUCACGGUACGUAGAUGCACGUCGAUACAGAAAAGCGUGAAAGGUUAAAAGGGCGCGGUGCAAAACAGCCACGGAGAUAAUAAUCAUCCGGAGCAUCGAUCGAAUGUCAUCGAGGUCGGAAAUUGCGUGCAACCGUACCGCGCUUCCAUUACGACGCGUCAAGUCUCGCAGCGCGACGUUUCCUCCUUUAUUCGCGUCUUCUUCCUCUAUUUAUUCGCCGAAGCGUUUUCAGAGAGUGGCAUUCAUCGACGUUUCAUUAUGCGUUCACGGAACGUGCAAUCACCGCGGAAUCGUGUACGCACCGCGAUUCAAUGAUUCUAUGGAAAUGACGACGCCCACAGCGGCAAGAACCGCGGUAAUUGCGAGGAGGACAGGUCCAUCGAUCGAACCAGUUAAUAGACCGGAGGCUUGAUUGUUUGGCGACAUAUCUGAAGCGAAAUAGGGGAUGAUAAUGAGGUAAUUCAAGCCUUGAUUGACACGUGCAAUAAAGCAGAAAUCACAAAAUUUACAAAGAAAUUUUUAUAGUAAUUCAUAAAUAUAUAUACUUUUACAAUAUGCAGAAAACACACG
rnacentral:misc_RNA from 1 species